GAUGAACGCUGGCGGCGUGCCUAAUACAUGCAAGUCGAGCGAACAGACGACGAGCUUGCUCCUUUGAUGUUAGCGGCGGACGGGUGAGUAACACGUAGGUAACCUACCUAUAAGACUGGGAUAACUUCGGGAAACCGGAGCUAAUACCGGAUAAUAUUUCGAACCGCAUGGUUCGAUAGUGAAAGAUGGCUUUGCUAUCACUUAUAGAUGGACCUGCGCCGUAUUAGCUAGUUGGUAAGGUAACGGCUUACCAAGGCAACGAUACGUAGCCGACCUGAGAGGGUGAUCGGCCACACUGGAACUGAGACACGGUCCAGACUCCUACGGGAGGCAGCAGUAGGGAAUCUUCCGCAAUGGGCGAAAGCCUGACGGAGCAACGCCGCGUGAGUGAUGAAGGUCUUCGGAUCGUAAAACUCUGUUAUUAGGGAAGAACAAACGUGUAAGUAACUGUGCACGUCUUGACGGUACCUAAUCAGAAAGCCACGGCUAACUACGUG
rnacentral:rRNA from 1 species